CCUACGGGAGGCUGCAGUGGGGAAUAUUGCACAAUGGGGGAAACCCUGAUGCAGCGACGCCGCGUGAAGGAAGAAGUAUUUCGGUAUGUAAAAUUCUAUUAGCAGGGAAGAAAAUGACGGUACCUGUCUAAGAAGCCAUGGCUAACUACGUGCCAGCAGCCGCGGUAACACGGAGGGGGCAAGCGUUAUCCGGAUUUACUGGGUGUAAAGGGAGCGUAGGCGGUUUAGUAAGUCAGAAGUGAAAGCCCGGGGUUCAACUUCGGGACUGCUUUUGAAACUGUUGAGCUAGAUUGCAGGAGAGGUAGGUGGAAUUCGUGGUGUAGCGGUGAAAUGCGUAGAUAUUA
rnacentral:rRNA from 1 species